UACAGAGGGUGCAAGCGUUAAUCGGAAUUACUGGGCGUAAAGCGCGCGUAGGUGGUUCGUUAAGUUGGAUGUGAAAUCCCCGGGCUCAACCUGGGAACUGCAUUCAAAACUGUCGAGCUAGAGUAUGGUAGAGGGUGGUGGAAUUUCCUGUGUAGCGGUGAAAUGCGUAGAUAUAGGAAGGAACACCAGUGGCGAAGGCGACCACCUGGACUGAUAACUGACACUGAGGUGCGAAGACGUGGGGGAGCAAACAGG
rnacentral:rRNA from 1 species